GGAGAGGUGGCAGAGCCUGGUUGAUCGCGGCGGUCUUGAAAACCGUUGUGGGGAAACCCACCGGGGGUUCGAAUCCCUCCCUCUCCG
rnacentral:tRNA from 1 species